rnacentral:rRNA from 1 species
GGGUUCGAUCAUACCAGCACUAAUGCACCGGAUCCCUUCAGAACUCCGAAGUUAAGCGUGCUUGGGCGAGCACGAGAGUAGUACUAGGAUGGGUGACCCCCUGGGAAGUCCUCGUGUUGCAACCC